rnacentral:rRNA from 1 species
CUGCCUGAUGGAGGGGGAUAACUACUGGAAACGGUAGCUAAUACCGCAUAACGUCGCAAGACCAAAGAGGGGGACCUUCGGGCCUCUUGCCAUCAGAUGUGCCCAGAUGGGAUUAGCUAGUAGGUGGGGUAACGGCUCACCUAGGCGACGAUCCCUAGCUGGUCUGAGAGGAUGACCAGCCACACUGGAACUGAGACACGGUCCAGACUCCUACGGGAGGCAGCAGUGGGGAAUAUUGCACAAUGGGCGCAAGCCUGAUGCAGCCAUGCCGCGUGUAUGAAGAAGGCCUUCGGGUUGUAAAGUACUUUCAGCGGGGAGGAAGGUGUUGUGGUUAAUAACCGCAGCAAUUGACGUUACCCGCAGAAGAAGCACCGGCUAACUCCGUGCCAGCAGCCGCGGUAAUACGGAGGGUGCAAGCGUUAAUCGGAAUUACUGGGCGUAAAGCGCACGCAGGCGGUCUGUCAAGUCGGAUGUGAAAUCCCCGGGCUCAACCUGGGAACUGCAUUCGAAACUGGCAGGCUGGAGUCUUGUAGAGGGGGGUAGAAUUCCAGGUGUAGCGGUGAAAUGCGUAGAGAUCUGGAGGAAUACCGGUGGCGAAGGC